ACAGGGUUAGGGAAGUAAUAAAAUGUAUCUGUACUAAGUCUGAAAUAACUGUAUACAACAGAUAGAAAUGACGAAACAAUAGUUAUUGAACAGAUGACGUUACAUCAAUGGUAUAGUUGCAGUGAUUUUGCAGAUGAGAUCCUUAUGUCUAUUGAUGUUUACAGAGAUACCUUCCUCACCACAGGAAAAUGCUAUGCUAAAAAUCAGGAUUCACGGCAUCAAAGUAACUAUUAACUUCUUAUAUUGAAGUUCCGUAUACGUUAAUGUAGAAUGUGGUUCUGUACAAUAUAGAUGAUCGAGUUUAGACGUGAAUAAGAGAAGAUGGUGGUAAACAUGAAUGACACAGCAACCAAACGACACAAAAAACUUCUGAAGUAAAAUAUGCCUUGUCAUAUUGUUGGAAUUAUCAUGAGGAUGUUCAGAGAAAACGCACACAAUUUGUGAGAGCUGAAGUUAGAAUUGUUUGCAAACCAAGGAAGAUAAUUGUUGGAGAGAGCCAUACCAUGACGAUUUAUGCUGAGAAAAUAAAGUUUUUGAAUGCUGAUUAACAGACAGCUAAAGAGUUGGACAGGUACAUAUUAUUAAUGAAGAAAAAGAGAACAGAAAACAAAAGUGCAAGUGUUUGAGAAGAUGACCGAAGUAAAAUAUGCAACAUAUACAGCGAUAUAAGAGGAAAUUGCAGAAUAUUACCAGAACAUCUUAAACGCGAGAAUAAUAGGGAAAGAAAAUGAAGUCACAGCCCCUUUUCGGAAGAUAAUGUUUUAAAAAAAGGAAAAAAAGGGAAGAGAAAGAAAAGAUUUAUAUUCUAAUAUCUUAUUGUCAGCUCUUUUUAUGACGCAAAAGGACACUGAAGGUGUUAAUGUAAAUAAAAUGCCCACUUGGGUCGAGAAAUUUAUCAUAUGGUUGACCUUGUUGAAUGAAGUGCAAGGUGCAAUAUUGUAUUCCUUUAGGAAAAUACAUGUGUAUGUAUAAUGAAAAGCUGCGAAAGUUUCCUUUAAUUAUUCAAGAUUAUUUAAAAUCAAAAUUCUAAAACGCUCUGUUUUUGGUUAGUUUAAACAGAGAAACUCAGAGAACAGCACCCUUUCCAGUUUUAAAUAUUUUUCUCUGGUAUUACUGUGUGGAUUGGAUAUGUUCAUCAUUGGACAUAUUUGCUUUAAAAAAUAAUAUGUGGAAUUUAAUCAUUAUUGGUGGAAAACAUUAUCAGUUGACAAUCUGUUUUUGAAAUGUAUUUAAACUAUUGGAUUUAUCAAACUGUACUUUGAUGUAAAUAGUGUUCAUUGGACAAACUUGUAUUAUAAAGAAUCAACAAACUAUACAGUAAAUAGAGCAAUAUAGAUUGUUAUGUAAUAUAUCUGAAUGUGAGUUUGUCUUUUCUUUAUUUAAAAAAUAAAAUUAAUUGUUUGGGAA